rnacentral:misc_RNA from 1 species
UUUCCGUAGGUGAACCUGCGGAAGGAUCAUUAUCGAGUUAGGGUCUCUGGCCCGACCUCCAACCCUGUGUCUACUAUAGCAUGUUGCUUUGGCGUGCCCGCGUUCGUCGCCGCCGAGGGGUUGACCCCCCUGGGCCAGUACCCGCCGAUAACCCCAUCUUAAAGCCUUGAUCAACCGUAAAUGUCUGAGUAAAAAAAAAAUCAAACACAAAACUUUCAACAACGCAUCUCUAGGUCCUCGCACCGAUGAAGAACGAAGAAGAACAGAAGAGAAACCCCC